rnacentral:rRNA from 1 species
UACGGGGGGGGCAAGCGUUGUUCGGAAUUACUGGGCGUAAAGGGCUCGUAGGUGGCCAACUAAGUCAGACGUGAAAUCCCUCGGCUUAACCGGGGGACUGCGUCUGAUACUGGAUGGCUUGAGUUCGGGAGAGGGAUGCGGAAUUCCAGGUGUAGCGGUGAAAUGCGUAGAUAUCUGGAGGAACACCGGUGGCGAAGGCGGCAUCCUGGACCGACACUGACGCUGAGGAGCGAAAGCCAGGGGAGCAAACGGG